GACGUAGGGUCCAAGCGUUGUUCGGAUUUACUGGGCGUAAAGAGCGCGUAGGCGGUCUGUUAAGUGUCGAGUGAAAUCUCCAGGGCUCAACCCGGAAACUGCUCUGCAUACUGGCAGACUGGAGUGAUGCAGAGGUUUGUGGAAUUCCUGGUGUAACGGUGAAAUGUGUUGAUAUCAGGAGGAACACCCAUGGCGAAGGCAGCAAACUGGGCAUUAACUGACGCUGAGGCGCGAAAGCGUGGGUAGCAAACAGG
rnacentral:rRNA from 1 species